AAAUUUUGGUUUUAUCCUUACUCUUGCUGAAAAAUAUUAUUUGUUUUUAAGAAAUCACAAUAUGGAGAUUUUCCUUAAUUUCAGACCGUUAAAUGUCAUAACCCAGUUCAUGAUUUGCACCAAAAUCAAAGGGAUCCUGUUUAUUGAAGCCUAAGAAAUUUUGGGUUAUACCCUUCCUCCAUACGAGAAAACAUCUGUCUUUCUUCUUCUUUUCUAGAUGCAAAUAAUAUAUUCUAGGUUUCUGUAACUUGCAGCAGCAGAAGUUUACACCAAAUA
rnacentral:misc_RNA from 1 species